rnacentral:rRNA from 1 species
UACGAAGGGGCUAGCGUUGUUCGGAAUCACUGGGCGUAAAGGCGCGUAGGCGGCUUUAUAAGUCGGGGUGAAAGCCUGUGGCUCAACCACAGAAUUGCCUUCGAUACUGUAGAGCUUGAGACCGGAAGAGGUAAGUGGAACUGCGAGUGUAGAGGUGAAAUUCGUAGAUAUUCGCAAGAACACCAGUGGCGAAGGCAGCCUCCUGGCCAAUACGUGACGCUCAUGCACGAAAGCGUGGGAGCAAACAGG